UUCUUUAGGACUCAUUCUGUACGCAGCCUUAUUAGGUAGAACAACCCCCGGAAUAAGAUCAAUGUGAUGUUGAAUGUCUCUCAAAGGUGGAAGGCCAUGUGGAAUCUCUUCCGGUAUAACAUCUUGAAAUUCUUCUAGAAUUGGUUGCAUGAUUUUCGGUGUCUCCUUAUGUUGUUUGUUCUCCUCUACUACCAUUAGGGCCAAAACAUGACCGCCCUUGUCCAAUUCAUAUCUGCAUUCUCUAUAAGAAAUAAAAGCACUAACUUCCUUCUUUGGCGCACUGAUUUCGGAAGGUUGUAAUGGAGCUAAGAUAAUCUUCUUUU
rnacentral:lncRNA from 1 species